ACACUUCACACCCUACAACCCCUAAAAAUAACCCAGAUUUGACAGCAGUGCACACCCAUCUGAGGCCGACCUGUUUUACUUCAUGAUCACCCCAGAUACUUCUACAACUAACCCGCUUUGUGUCUGAUGUUGAUGCA